GGAAUAUUGGACAAUGGCCGGAAGGCUGAUCCAGCCAUGCCGCGUGAAGGAAUAAGGUCCUAUGGAUUGUAAACUUCUUUUGUACGAGAGCAAUAAGUGUCACGAGUGACACGAUGAGAGUAUCGUACGAAUAAGCAUCGGCUAACUCCGUGCCAGCAGCCGCGGUAAUACGGAGGAUGCGAGCGUUAUCCGGAUUUAUUGGGUUUAAAGGGUGCGUAGGCGGGUGCUUCAGCGUGAGGUGAAAGCUCGGAGCUCAACUCCGGAACUGCCUCGCGAACUGGGUGCCUUGAAUGUCCGUGCCGUGGGAGGAAUGUGUGGUGUAGCGGUGAAAUGCAUAGAUAUCACUCAGAACACCGAUUGCGAAGGCAUCUCACGAAUGGGGGACUGACGCUGAGGCACGAAAGCGUGGGGAUCAAACA
rnacentral:rRNA from 1 species